ACGUAGGGGACGAGCGUUGUCCGGAAUUACUGGGCGUAAAGGGCGCGCAGGCUGUGCUGUAAGUCAGCUGUGAAAUAUCUGGGCUUAACCCGGGUAUGCGUUUGAGACUGCAGCGCUUGAGUACGGUAGAGGCAAGCGGAAUUCCCUGUGUAGCGGUGAAAUGCGUAGAUAUUGGGAAGAACACCGGUGGCGAAGGCGACUUGCUGGGCAGAUACUGACGCUGAGGCGCGAGAGCGUGGGUAGCAAACAG
rnacentral:rRNA from 1 species